UGGAGUGUAGCUCAGUGGUAGAGUACUUGUCUUGCCCACAAGAAGCCCUGAGUUCUAUCCCCUGCACUGCAA
rnacentral:tRNA from 1 species